GGGAGGAGACUCGCCACGCCACCUCAUCUUUAGGAAACUCUGAAGCCCUGGCUUCUUGUGGAAUGUAGGGCUUUGUCCGGCACUUGGAGUGUAGGGGGAGCAAAAGCCAGAAUCUCCACCCCCCCACCCCCAAGAAUGGUAAAGUCAUCAGCAGUUGGGGGAAAAAAUUCCUCAAGAAGAAAAACAGAAAGAGGAAAGUGCUGAGCUCUGAGUUCUGUCUCUCUCCAAAUUUCCCCAAAUGUUUCCCCUCAUGAGGGAGGGAGAGGACCCGUCUGGGCUCUGAAGUCUGGAACAGGAGCAGAGGCUGCCCAGGUAUAAAUGUACCAGGCCUUCCAGAGUUCACUCUGCCCAUCUACAGAAGCAGCUGAGGUGGGAGAGGACGGCAUGAGAGACAAGACCACCGUAUCAUUCCAGCCCCAAUCGGAGAGUCCCAGACAACAGCUCCAGGCUCUCAGCUGGGCCCUGUGGCCCGAGGGGGAAGGGAGCAUGGUGGGCAGGGAGGAACUGCCACCUGGAAGGGCUUGAUGGGAACCAGCUGGCUGGGGUGGGGCCUUGGGAGUGUGGGUUGCGGGGAGGGCGGGGCCGGAGGCCACAGUGGGCGGGCAACUGACAGCUCAGGGCUGGGAGUGGCUGCUGGAGGCCCCCACCUUCCCUGAGGCUGGAGUCCAGAUGCCUCCACAGCCGUCCAGGCUCUUCCAACCCGCUGACCUCAUUCCCAGCUCCCUCCCGUGCAGCCCCCCUCAAUUGUCUGCCACGUAGACUGGAGCCUCAGCAACAAUCUCCGUAGGGGUGGCUGCGAGAGGAGCCAGGCACACUUAGCCCAGGAAACCUGCUAAGCCGGAGGGAGCUAGGGAAGGUAGCUGUGACCACUCGGUGCCUCAGUUUCCCCUCCCCAAACACGAGUCCCAGUGAAUGGAGAAGAGCGAGGUGUGAAGCGGGUUACAGUUGCUAAACAAGACUCAAGGUGUUGGGGGACCCUAGAGGUCACCCCAACCAUCCCUCAGUGUCUUGGGUCUGGAGUGUAUUGCUCUCAAGAAGGGGCAGAGGUGCGUGCGCAGGCUGGGGGUGUGUGUGUGGGGUCCCUCCUUUGUCAAAGGAAGUUCCCAGAAAGUUUGAAAUCCUUUGUGAAAUCUAGGCCCCCCCCCCCCCCCCCGCCACCUCAGGCUGCAUUAGGCUACAAUUUGCCAUUUUAUAGCAGAGAUAUAGUGAGACGAAUGUAGUGUCCUCUCCCUAGGCACCUUAGGGACCUCACCGUGAGUCCCUGGACUGAGCUCUCUCUACCUCUGACCUCUGUUUCUCCCUUGCCUCCCUGUCUCAGAGUGAGUGUCCCAGUUGACCCUGACUGACCAGGAAGCCAUCCCCAUUCCUGCUGGCCCACAGAGUUCCAGGCUUGUGAGUCAUCGGGGAAUGUCUGUUCUGCCUGCAGCUCCCAAACUCUAAGCCAGGGACCCUCUUGUUUGACAGGAGUCCUGGAAGCAGAGAGGAAGUCUUGCUUAAAGGAAAUCCACAAGUGAGCCAGAGGGCUUGGCCUCUCCCAGAGACGGUCCCUGCCUAAUGGCCGGCUUCAUCCAAGGUGGGGGAGCGGCAGACCUGCAGCGAUGGGACAGUUGAUCGUGGAAGGAAUCGGUGAGCCCAAGCAGAUCUUCCCUCCUUCAAACCUUUUCAGGGUACCCUCAUCACUUACCAGUUUCUCUGUGCCCUGUGGGAACAGGAGAAGUUGGAAGUGCAGCCACCUAUAAUCAGAAUGGACAUCUAUGCCUGAGUGGGGCCCAUUCCUUGUGGGGCGGGUCAGAGGGUCUAGGUCAGCCCCAGGAAAGAUCAGGGCCCCUGCGUGCUCACGUGUGCGCAAUGUACUGUAGUAUAUAUACAAGUAUACACGUGUAUAGGCGAGUGGGGGUGUCACCUGCCCAUAUAUGUGUAUGUGAAGGCCAGGGGUCAAUGUUGGUUGUCUUUCUCACUUGCUUGUCACUGGGGAGAUUGGCUGUCUAAUAAAAAGCACCCAGAAUCUU
rnacentral:sRNA from 1 species